GUGCCUUUAGCUCAGUUGGCAGAGCACCUGACUCUUAAUCAGGGUGUCCGGGGUUCGAACCCCCGAAGGCGCACCA
rnacentral:tRNA from 1 species